rnacentral:rRNA from 1 species
UACGUAGGGUGCAAGCGUUAAUCGGAAUUACUGGGCGUAAAGCGUGCGCAGGCGGUUCGCUAAGACAGAUGUGAAAUGCCCGGGCUUAACCUGGGAACUGCAUUUGUGACUGCAUGGCUAGAGUUUGGCAGAGGGGGGUAGAAUUCCACGUGUAGCAGUGAAAUGCGUAGAUAUGUGGAGGAACACCGAUGGCGAAGGCAGCCCCCUGGGUCAAGACUGACGCUCAUGCACGAAAGCGUGGGGAGCAAACAGG